rnacentral:lncRNA from 1 species
AGGGACCUAAACACAGGAAUUUUUUUUCUCAGAGUCAGACCACGCCUUAUGACGAAAGGGGGAGAAAGGACGGAUCACCUGUCGAUCUGUGAUCAAAGAAAACUAUACCUGAAGAAUGGGAUACAGAUUGACAAGCACAAAAGGGUAGGCUUGGCUAUUAAUCUACGCUCAUUGAUGAGACGGCGACAUAGAGAAGAAAGUAUACCCUUUGUCACCCCCUUGUCACUUAAAAGUAAAGAAGAGAUACACACUUUGGAAUCCAAAUUUGGUGGGAUUUAGGAUGGAAUCGAAUAGCGAAUGCACUUGCGGUUAAGACAGGUCCUGCAUCUCCUACCUAAUGCAAUUGACCGACCCGCCAUUUCUUUCCUUCAAU